rnacentral:tRNA from 1 species
GCGCCCAUAGUUCAAUGGAUAGAACACUAGCCUUCUAAGCUAGAUAUGUAGGUUCGAUCCCUACUGGGCGUA